GUGCCAGCCGCCGCGGUAAUACCAGCUCUUCUAGCAUAUAUUAAAGUUGCUGCAGUUAAAACGCUCGUAGUUUGAAUUAUUUCGGUGGCAGGCUGGCUGGAAAAUUUAUUUUUUCAAGCUGUCUGGUGCCGAAUUAAAGUUUGGGUAGAGCAGAUUAUUUUCUCUCUAUCCAUUUAACCUUGAAAAAACAUUGUCGCUCAAAAAAGGACGGAAAAGUCUAUUGAGAUUUCAGCAUGGGAUUAUGAAAAAAGGGGGGCGGGUUUCGAGGGGGGGUAAAAGCCCGAUUGGCUCGUUUCCAAUGGUUAAUGAGGACGAUGCGUGGGAGUUCAUAUUAAUAAGUCAGAGGUGAAAUUCUUGGAUUUUAUUAAGAUGAACAUCAGCGAAGGCGUUCUUCAAGUGCGUGCCUGUCGAUCAAGAACGAAAGUUGGGGGAUCGAAGACGAUCAGAUACCGUCGUAGUCUCAACCUUAAACUAUGCCGACUAUGAAUAGGAUAUCGUUUUAAGAAGGGCGUCAAAAACCCUUCUGAUGACUUCUCCUGCGCAUUAAAAGAAAUUAAGAGUUUUUUGGGUUCCGGGGGGGAAUUAUAGUCGCAAGGCCGAAACUUAAAGGAAUUGACGGAAGGCGCACCACCAGGUGUGGCAGCCUGCGGCUUAUUUUGACUCAGCACGGGGAAACUUACCAGGUCCAGACAGCGUGAGGAUUGACAGAUUGAUAGCUCUUUCAUGAUUCGUUGGGGUGGUGUGCAUGUGUCUUAGUAGUGAAGAUGAGAUUGCCUGGAUCAAUCCGUUAAACGAACCGAACACUUCGUUGUAUAAUACGAAGCGCUAGUUCUUAGCGUCAAGGUAGCUGCCUCUGCAUGAAACAGCAUCGCUAGGCAAAUGCGUCAUACUGCUAGCUAGGCUCAGAUCGUCAGCAGACACUCGAGUGGUAUGAAAUGUGA
rnacentral:rRNA from 1 species